AGCAAGCUGGCUCUCGCCCAGCCGAUGCAAGAAGUGACAAGUCAGUGGUCUCCUGUCCAGAAGGAUGACGAACCUCCACCUUCUCCUGCAUGGAAAGCUGAUAAAUCUUCCCCUUCUCCUCCUGUCCAGAAGGAUGACGAACCUCUACUUUCUCCUGCAUGGAAAGCUGAUAAAUCUUCCCCUUCUCCUCCUGUCCAGAAGGAUGACGAACCUCCACCUUCUCCUGCAUGGAAAGUUGACACCCCUCCGCUUUCUCCCUCCCAGCCUUCUGAGAAAGUAGAAGAAACCAAGGUCUCUCUGAGUCCAGAAAUGAAGUCUCCUCCUUUGCUCAGUCAACCUGUGGAGAUUCCUCCUGGGCAGGAGCAUCUCGAUGAGAAGGAGAAGAAGCAGCCUCUCGACACAUCUGCAGAACAGCAGAAGGAACCGAGUCAGCCAACCUCAACCCAACCUGGAGAGCAUCUUCCAGAUCUUGCAGACCCGAUGGGCUCUGUACUUGGGGAGAAGCUCCAGAUGGAAACUCCGAGGUUGUUUGUCGAUGAGUCCACCUUGGCCCAACCCAUGGAUCCCACUGCAGGAAAGCCGCCUCUCGAACCGGAAGAAGAGGUGAAGGCACCUGCUGAGGUUCCGUCAGCAGAAGACACAGCUGCCCUUCCCAGCAAGGCCCUUCCCCCGAGUCCGGAGAAGAAGACCAAGCCUUUGGCCAGCGCCAGGGCUAAACCCGCCACAGCGAAAGCCAAGCCCGGGACGGCGGGUGCUCCCCCCGCCAAGCAGUGGGCUUCGGCCACGCCGGGCCCAAGCAAAAAGCCCCCCUCGGCGGCAGCGACCACAUCCAAACGCCUGUCGACCAGUGUCGCGCAACCCUCCAGCUUAACCCCCCGAGAGGCUAAACCGAAGGCGACCGACGUUAAGAAGGCCCCCCUUUCCAAGCCAAGUGCAAAGCCCCCCUUGCCCGCUGCCAGGAGUUCGGGGGGGGCAGCCACCAGGGGGACGUCGCCCAGCCCGAGGACUGCGGCUGGCUUGUCACCAAA
rnacentral:lncRNA from 1 species